UAUGUCCCUAGAGGCAUCAGGUGUGGAUGCUAUGUCACAUGUGCAUGGGUAGGUGGCAGAGAGGAGAGAGGCUAUGUCUACACUCAGUGUUCUGAUCUGUGAACAUCUGAAAGAUUAGUAGCCUAACCAU